UGCCAGCCGCCGCGGUAAUACGGAGGGGGCUAGCGUUGUUCGGAAUUACUGGGCGUAAAGCGCGCGUAGGCGGGCUGUUAAGUCGGGGGUGAAAUCCCGGAGCUCAACUCCGGAAUUGCCUUCAAUACUGCUAGUCUUGAGUUCGAGAGAGGGUGGUGGAAUUCCUAGUGUAGAGGUGAAAUUCGUAGAUAUUAGGAAGAACACCAGUGGCGAAGGCGGCUAACUGGCUCGGUACUGACGCUGAGAUGCGAAAGCGUGGGGAGCAAACAGGAUUAGAUA
rnacentral:rRNA from 1 species